rnacentral:ncRNA from 1 species
UAAGAUAAUUUUAGUUAAUGAACUCGGCAAAACAAAAGUUCUAACGUUAGGCAAAAUGAACGAAUAAAGAUUAUGUUAUGCGACUGUUUACUAAAAACACAGCACUUUGCAAAAACAAUAGUUAUAGAAUAAAGUGUGAAUUCUGCCCAAUGCUUAAUAAUAAAAAAGAUAUGUUGAAAGGUAUAUUAUUAUAAAAUUUAAGUAAAUGGCGGCUUUAUACUGAGAGUCAUAAUGUAGCGAAAUUCAUUGGCUACUAAUUAUAGUCCUGCAUGAAUGGAGUAACGACAUAACAACUGUAUCAACUAAAAUCUUA